rnacentral:rRNA from 1 species
AACGAACGCUGGCGGCAUGCCUAACACAUGCAAGUCGAACGAGACCUUCGGGUCUAGUUGCGCACGUGUGCGUAACGCGUGGGAACCUGCCCUUAGGUUCGGAAUAACUCCCCGUAAGGGGUGCUAAUACCGGUUAAUGUCUUCGGACCAAAGAUUUAUCGCCUUUGGAUGGGCCCGCGUUGGAUUAGCUAGUUGGUAGUGUAAAAGCCUACCAAGGCGACGAUCCAUAGCUGGUCUGAGAGGAUGAUAAGCCACACUGGGACUGAGACACGGCCCAGACUCCUACGGGAGGGAGCAGUGGGGAAUAUUGGACGAUGGGCGAAAGCGUGAUACAGCAAUGCCGCGUGAGUGAUGAAGGCCUUAGGGUUGUAAAGCUCUUUUACCCGAGAUGAUAAUGACAGUACCGGGAGAAUAAGCACCGGCUAACUCCGUG